rnacentral:rRNA from 1 species
AUUGAACGCUGGCGGCAGGCCUAACACAUGCAAGUCGAGCGGAGCGGAGGACGGGUGAGUAAUGCCUAGGAAUAUGCCUGGUUGAGGGGGAUAACGUACGGAAACGGGCGCAAAUACCGCAUACCAUCCGAUGAGCCUUAGUCGGAUUAGCCAGUUGGUGGGGGAAAGGCCUACCAAGGCGACGAUCCGUAACUGGUCUGAGAGGAUGAUCAGGCACACUGGAACUGAGACACGGUCCAGACUCCUACGGGAGGCAGCAGUGGGGAAUAUUGGACAAUGGGCGAAAGCCUGAGCCAGCCAUGCCGCGUGUGUGAAGAAGGUCUUCGGAUUGUAAAGCACUUUAAGUUGGGAGGCGUUACCAACAGAAUAAGCACCGGCUAACUUCGUGCCAGCAGCCGCGGUAAUUC